rnacentral:rRNA from 1 species
AGUGAACGCUGGCGGUAGGCCUAACACAUGCAAGUCGAACGGCAGCACAGUAAGAGCUUGCUCUUACGGGUGGCGAGUGGCGGACGGGUGAGGAAUACAUCGGAAUCUACUUUUUCGUGGGGGAUAACGUAGGGAAACUUACGCUAAUACCGCAUACGACCUACGGGUGAAAGCAGGGGAUCUUCGGACCUUGCGCGAUUGAAUGAGCCGAUGUCGGAUUAGCUAGUUGGCGGGGUAAAGGCCCACCAAGGCGACGAUCCGUAGCUGGUCUGAGAGGAUGAUCAGCCACACUGGAACUGAGAAACGGUCCAGACUCCUACGGGAGGCAGCAGUGGGGAAUAUUGGACAAUGGGCGCAGGCCUGAUCCAGCCAUACCGCGUGGGUGAAGAAGGCCUUCGGGUUGUAAAGCCCUUUUGUUGGGAAAGAAAAGCAGCAGGUUAAUACCCCGCUGUUCUGACGGUACCCAAAGAAUAAGCACCGGCUAACUUCGUG